UACGUAGGGUGCAAGCGUUGUCCGGAAUUAUUGGGCGUAAAGAGCUCGUAGGCGGUUUGUCGCGUCGAAUGUGAAAACCCGGGGCUCAACUCCGGGCCUGCAUUCGAUACGGGCAGACUAGAGUUCGGUAGGGGAGACUGGAAUUCCUGGUGUAGCGGUGAAAUGCGCAGAUAUCAGGAGGAACACCGAUGGCGAAGGCAGUGUUCUGGGCCAGUACUGACGCUGAGGAGCGAAAGCGUGGGGAGCAAACAGG
rnacentral:rRNA from 1 species